rnacentral:rRNA from 1 species
AACGUAGGAGCCAAGCGUUAUCCGAAUUCACUGGGCGUAAAGCGUGUGCAGGCGGGCUCGUAAGUUGGAUGUGAAAUCUCCUGGCUCAACUGGGAGAGGCCGUUCAAUACUGUGAGCCUCGAGGGCAACAGAGGGAGGUGGAAUUCCCGGUGUAGUGGUGAAAUGCGUAGAUAUCGGGAGGAACACCAGUGGCGAAAGCGGCCUCCUGGGUUGCACCUGACGCUCAGACACGAAAGCUAGGGGAGCGAACGGG